rnacentral:rRNA from 1 species
UACGGAGGGUGCAAGCGUUAUCCGGAUUCACUGGGUUUAAAGGGUGCGUAGGCGGAUUAGAAAGUCCGUUGUGAAAUCUCUGAGCUUAACUCGGAAAUUGCGGUGGAUACUAUUAGUCUUGAAUACUGUGGAGGUUAGCGGAAUAUGUCAUGUAGCGGUGAAAUGCAUAGAUAUGACAUAGAACACCAAUUGCGAAGGCAGCUUACUACGGAUUGAUUGACACUGAGGCACGAAAGCGUGGGGAUCAAACAGG